UUUAAAGAGAGUUUGAUCCUGGCUCAGUACGAACGCUGGCGGCGUGCCUAAUACAUGCAAGUCGAACGAACGGAGGAAGAGCUUGCUCUUCCAAAGUUAGUGGCGGACGGGUGAGUAACACGUGGGCAACCUGCCUGUAAGUUGGGGA
rnacentral:rRNA from 1 species